GAUUGUUUCUGAGGUGAUUGUUUCUGAGGUGAUUGUUUCUGAGGUGAUUGUUUCUGAGGUGAUUGUUUCUGAGGUGAUUGUUUCUGAGGUGAUUGUUACUGAGGUGAAUGUUACUGAGGUGAUUGUUACUGAGGUGAUUGUUACUGAGGUGAUUGUUUCUGAGGUGAUUGUUACUGAGGUGAUUGUUACUGAGGUGAUUGUUUCUGAGGUGAUUGUUACUGAGGCGAUUGUUUCUGAGGUGAUUGUUUCUGAGGUGAUUGUUUCUGAGGUGAUUGUUUCUGAGGUGAUUGUUACUGAG